AACUACCACCUCCUGGCCUUUUUUUUAAAAAGCACCAAAAGUCCAGGAGGUGGUAGUACA
rnacentral:pre_miRNA from 1 species